GACUGACACUCCUACGGGGAGGCAGCAGGUGGGGGAAUAUUGCGCAAUGGGACAAAGUCUGACGCAGCGACGCCGCGUGGAGGAUGAAGGUUUUCGGAUCGUAAACUCCUGUCAAGAGGGAAGAAACCUAUUAUGAAUAAUACUCAUAGUAAUUGACGGUACCUCUAGAGGAAGCACCGGCUAAAUUCAGUGCCAGCAGCCGCGGUAAUACUGAAGGUGCAAGCGUUAAUCGGAAUCACUGGGCGUAAAGCGCUCGUAGGUGGCUUUGUAAGUCAGGUGUGAAAGCCCACGGCUCAACCGUGGAAUUGCACUUGAUACUGCAUCGCUAGAGUAUAGGAGAGGGAAGUGGAAUUUCUGGUGUAGGAGUGAAAUCCGUAGAGAUCAGAAGGAACACCCGUGGCGAAGGCGACUUCCUGGACUAUUACUGACACUGAGGAGCGAAAGCGUGGGGAGCAAACAGGAUUAGAUACCCUGGUAG
rnacentral:rRNA from 1 species